AUUGAACUGAAGAGUUUGAUCAUGGCUCAGAUUGAACGCUGGCGGCAGGCCUAACACAUGCAAGUCGAGCGGAUGAAGGGAGCUUGC
rnacentral:rRNA from 1 species